rnacentral:rRNA from 1 species
GAUCAUGGUUUUCUCAGGAUGAACGCUAGCUACAGGCUUAACACAUGCAAGUCGAGGGGCAGCAUGAACUUAGCUUGCUAAGUUUGAUGGCGACCGGCGCACGGGUGAGUAACACGUAUCCAACCUUCCGUUUACUCAGGGAUAGCCUUUCGAAAGAAAGAUUAAUACCUGAUAGUAUGGUGAGAUUGCAUGAUAGCACCAUUAAAGAUUUAUUGGUAAACGAUGGGGAUGCGUUCCA